GUAGAUAUAGUUUAACUAAAACAUUAGAUUGUGAUUCUAAAAAUGGGGGUUAAACUCCCCCUGUCCACCG
rnacentral:tRNA from 1 species